AGUGAACGCUGGCGGUAGGCCUAGCACAUGCAAGUCGAACGGCAGCACAGUAAGAGCUUGCUCUUACGGGUGGCGAGUGGCGGACGGGUGAGGAAUACAUCGGAUCUACUUUUUCGUGGGGGAUAACGUAGGGAAACUUACGCUAAUACCGCAUACGACCUACGGGUGAAAGCAGGGGAUCUUCGGACCUUGCGCGAUUGAAUGAGCCGAUGUCGGAUUAGCUAGUUGGCGGGGUAAAGGCCCACCAAGGCGACGAUCCGUAGCUGGUCUGAGAGGAUGAUCAGCCACACUGGAACUGAGACACGGUCCAGACUCCUACGGGAGGCAGCAGUGGGGAAUAUUGGACAAUGGGCGCAAGCCUGAUCCAGCCAUACCGCGUGGGUGAAGAAGGCCUUCGGGUUGUAAAGCCCUUUUGUUGGGAAAGAAAAGCAGCAGGUUAAUACCCCGCUGUUCUGACGGUACCCAAAGAAUAAGCACCGGCUAACUUCGUG
rnacentral:rRNA from 1 species